AAACGGGGUCUAAUACCGGAUAANACUUCUCGGGCAUCUGAGGGGGUUGAAAGCUCCGGCGGUGAAGGAUGAGCCCGCGGCCUAUCAGCUUGUUGGUGGGGUGAUGGCCUACCAAGGCGACGACGGGUAGCCGGCCUGAGAGGGCGACCGGCCACACUGGGACUGAGACACGGCCCAGACUCCUACGGGAGGCAGCAGUGGGGAAUAUUGCACAAUGGGCGAAAGCCUGAUGCAGCGACGCCGCGUGAGGGAUGACGGCCUUCGGGUUGUAAACCUCUUUCAGCAGGGAAGAAGCGAAAGUGACGGUACCUGCAGAAGAAGCACCGGCUAACUACGUGCCAGCAGCCGCGGUAAUACGUAGGGUGCGAGCGUUGUCCGGAAUUAUUGGGCGUAAAGAGCUCGUAGGCGGCUUGUCACGUCGGUUGUGAAAGCCCGGGGCUUAACCCCGGGUCUGCAGUCGAUACGGGCAGGCUAGAGUGUGGUAGGGGAGAUCGGAAUUCCUGGUGUAGCGGUGAAAUGCGCAGAUAUCAGGAGGAACACCGGUGGCGAAGGCGGAUCUCUGGGCCAUUACUGACGCUGAGGAGCGAAAGCGUGGGGAGCGAACAGGAUUAGAUACCCUGGUAGUCCACGCCGUAAACGUUGGGAACUAGGUGUUGGCGACAUUCCACGUCGUCGGUGCCGCAGCUAACGCAUUAAGUUCCCCGCCU
rnacentral:rRNA from 1 species